AUUGAACGCUGGCGGCAUGCCUUACACAUGCAAGUCGAACGGCAGCACGGGAGCAAUCCUGGUGGCGAGUGGCGAACGGGUGAGUAAUAUAUCGGAACGUGCCCAGUCGUGGGGGAUAACGCAGCGAAAGCUGUGCUAAUACCGCAUACGAUCUAAGGAUGAAAGAGGGGGAUCGCAAGAACUCGCGCGAUUGGCGCGGCCGAUAUCAGAUUAGCUAGUUGGUGGGGUAACGGCCAACCAAGGCGACGAUCUAUAGCUGGUCUGAGAGGACGACCAGCCACACUGGAACUGAGACACGGUCCAGACUCCUACGGGAGGCAGCAGUGGGGAAUUUUGGACAAUGGGCGCAAGCCUGAUCCAGCAAUGCCGCGUGCAGGAUGAAGGCCUUCGGGUUGUAAACUGCUUUUGUACGGAACGAAACGGCCCUUUCUAAUACAGGGGGCUAAUGACGGUACCGUAAGAAUAAGCACCGGCUAACUACGUGCCAGCAGCCGCGGUAA
rnacentral:rRNA from 1 species